rnacentral:rRNA from 1 species
AGUAAAUAUAAUAAGAGCAUUUGGUGGAUGCCUUGGCACUAGAAGGCGAUGAAGGACGUAAUACGCUGCGAUAAGCUUCGGGGAGUUGUGAAUAAGCUUUGAUCCGAAGAUUUCCGAAUGGGGAAACCCACCUAAUUUAUUAGGUAUUGUAUAGUGAAUACAUAGCUAUAUGAGGCAAACCCAGCGAACUGAAAUAUCUAAGUAGCUGGAGGAAAGGACAUCAACCGAGACUCCGUUAGUAGUGACGAGCGAACGCGGACCAGGCCAGUGGCUUCAAUAAAAUAACUAAAAUAACAUGGAAAGGUUAACCAUAGAGGGUGAUAGUCCCGUAUAGGUAAAAAGUUUGAAGUCCUUGAGUAAAGCGGGACACGUGAAAUCCUGUUUGAACAUAGGGGGACCACCCUCUAAGCCUAAGUACUCUCUAGUGACCGAUAGUGAACAAGUACCGUGAGGGAAAGGUGAAAAGUACCCCGACAAGGGGAGUGAAAUAGUAUCUGAAACCAAGUGCUUACAAGCAGUCGGAGCAAGCGUAUUUAUAUGUCUUGUGACGGCGUACCUUUUGUAUAAUGGGUCAGCGACUUAGUUUAUCUAGCAAGCUUAAGCCGUUAGGUGUAGGCGUAGCGAAAGCGAGUCUGAAUAGGGCGCUUUAGUUAGAUGAAUUAGACCCGAAACCGGGUGAUCUAGCCAUGGCCAGGUUGAAAGCGGAGUAAAAUCCGCUGAAGGACCGAACCCACUACUGUUGAAAAAGUAGGGGAUGAGCUGUGGUUAGGGGUGAAAGGCCAAUCAAACUCGGAUAUAGCUGGUUCUCCGCGAAAUCUAUUUAGGUAGAGCGUUAUAGCGGUUACCGUCGAAGGUAGAGCACUGAAUGAGCUAGGGGGUCCCACAGACUUACCAAACUCAAUCAAACUCCGAAUGUCGACGAGUACAGCAUAGCAGACAGACUAUGGGUGCUAAGGUCCAUAGUCAAGAGGGAAAAAGCCCAGACCGCCAUCUAAGGUCCCUAAAUCAUGACUAAGUGUUAAAGGAUGUGAGAAGACCAAAACAACUAGGAUGUUGGCUUAGAAGCAGCCAUCAUUUAAAGAAAGCGUAAUAGCUCACUAGUCUAAAUAAGUUUUCUUGCGCCAACAAUGUAACGGGGCUCAAGUCAUGUACCGAAGAUGCGGAUUUAUGCAUUUGGCAUAAAUGGUAGCGGAGCGUUCCGUAAGCCUGUGAAGGUGAACCGUAAGGUUUGCUGGAGGUAUCGGAAGUGAGAAUGCUGACAUAAGUAGCGAUAAAGAAUGUGAGAAACAUUCUCGCCGAAAGUCCAAGGGUUCUUGCGUAAAGUUAAUCUGCGCAAGGUUAGUCGGCCCCUAAGAUGAGGCUGAGAGGCGUAAUCGAUGGGAAUCAGGUUAAUAUUCCUGAACCUGAGGGAUGUGACGAAAAUAGUAAAUUGUACAGUCUUAUUGGAUUGAUUGUACAGUGAAUGUUUUCCAGGAAAUAACACCUUCAUUAUAGACCGUACCCAAAACCGACACAGGUGGACAGGUAGAGUAUACCAAGGCGCUUGAGAGAACGAUGCUGAAGGAACUAGGCAAAUUGCAUCUGUAACUUCGGAAGAAAGAUGACCUGUAUAUGGGCAAUCAUUUGCAGGUGGCACAAACUAGGGGGUAGCGACUGUUUAUUAAAAACACAGGGCUCUGCAAAGUCAAUAGACGACGUAUAGGGUCUGACGCCUGCCCAGUGCUGGAAGAUUAAAAGGAGGGGUGCCAAGCUCUGAAUUGAAGUCCCAGUGAACGGCGGCCGUAACUAUGACGGUCCUAAGGUAGCGAAGUUCCUUGUCGGGUAAGUUCCGACCCGCACGAAUGGCGUAACGAUUUCCCCACUGUCUCCAGUAUCGACUCAGCGAAAUUGAAUUCUCCGUGAAGAUGCGGAGUUCCCGCGGUCAGACGGAAAGACCCCGUGAACCUUUACUAUAGCUUUGUACUGGUGUUAGGAAUCAGAUGUGCAGGAUAGGUGGGAGACUACGAAGCGAAGGCGUCAGCCUUUGUGGAGUCACCCUUGAGAUACCACCCUUUUGGUUCUUGACAUCUAACCGAGAUCCUUGAAUCAGGAUCCGAGACAAUGCAUGGUGGGUAGUUUGAC